CCCUUAGAUGUCCGGGACUGCACGCGCGCUACACUGAAGGAAUCAGCGUGCUAAAACCAUUGUCGAAAGGCAUUGGUAAACCCAUUAAAAUCCUACGUGAUUGGGAUCGGGAAUUGCAAUUAUUUCCCUUGAACGAGGAAUUCCCAGUAAGUGUGGGUCAUAAGCUCGCGUUGAUUACGUCCCUGCCCUUUGUACACACCGCCCGUCGCUGCCCGGGACUGAGCCGUUUCGAGAAAAGCGGGGACUGCUGCUGUCGGGGCUUUCGGGCCUUGGCUUCGGUGGAAACCGCUUUAAUCGCAGUGGCUUGAACCGGGCAAAAGUCGUANCA
rnacentral:rRNA from 1 species